AUGUCCAAGCAACAGAAGCGCGGCAGGGUGGACGCCAUCACCACCUCCCCGUCCCCGGCCUCCUUCCGCGACGCAUCCCGUGGCGGCGCCCAGCGCGGCACCUGCCGACCGCCCUCGCGGCUGGCUGCUUGCAUGGAGACGACGGCGGCCUCGUCGUCCCCGGAGGCCGCGGUGCUUCAAGGCCGACCUGGCGCCCCCUCCUCGCCCUUCCGCCACCUCUGUGCUGGGGUGGCGUCGCCGCUGGCCGGCGAGUCCGCGUCAAGGUCGUCUCCACUGUGCUACACCUGGAGAUGUAACCAUCUGUUCGAGGCCGCAAUAGCAAGGUUUAGUUCGAGCCACUGCUCGAGUGGCGGCGCACAUGGCGGCCACGGCCACGGGGCCAGCGCCGAACGGGGCACCCCCGUUUCCUUGUGCAGUGGUGGCUGGUCCUGCCAGCGAGGGGCAUGUGUUCGACGAAAUGCCAGGCAAGGAAGAGGCAGUUCUGGGCGCUGUCUCUGCUCGAUCGAAGGCCCAGCAGAGGAGAAGCGUGGUGAAGCACUUGAGGAAUCAAUGCAAGGGGCUGCCAUUAGCGAGUUGGGAGACAAUGCUCAGCUCAGCUCAGCUCAGCCCGACGGCAUGCUUGACAUGAGGCAUGAGACAGACAUGUGUGUCCCAGCGUCAGUGAUCAUCUUCUAUCAGUCACGCAAGUUUAUCCACACCGACUACUACACCUGGAGCGGCAAGGAUCCUAAGGGCCUCUUUCCUUGCAUUCUCGGUGACAAGGCUGCUGGACCUGAAGGAGCCCGUAUGGAAGGCACCUCCUCUCCGGGCGGUGAGAGCGUUGAGGGGUCGUGGGUGCAGCUAAUGGCCAUGUCCAUGGCCAUGCCUGCCAUUACCCUCUCUACAAGGGCACAAACAGGAAGACGCUUAGCAACCAGAUCGUCGUCCACUCCAAGUGGAGGGGACAACUCAAGCGAUAGUAAGUUUCUAGUAUUCUCU
rnacentral:rRNA from 1 species